rnacentral:lncRNA from 12 species
CCCCGCGGGGGAUGGGCCCCAGGGGUGCCUUGGGGCUUGGGGCCCGGCGGGGAGGGUGGCAGUCGGGGGCGGGAGGCCGCUCCCCCGGGCCGGGCCGCGCUGCUCGCGUUCUCACCUCUUCCGGGCUCCCCGAGCAGGUGCUAGGCCCAGAGGCCUUCAGUCUUGAACCCACAGAACACUUUUAUGUGAAACCCUGUGGCAGACAAACCAGUACUAUGACAAGAGCCAACAUGACUGAAGAGCCCAUAGGAGCAGAGAUUGGGCCCAAUUUCCUGCCCCAAAGGAGAUGUCUCCCAGAAGGAAGUAGAAGGCUCAAGCCAGGAGAAGACACAGGACUGAUUCAAGGCUGUGGGAUUCCAUGGCUGCAAAAUACACUUUCUGACUUCUACAUAGAAGAAUAG